rnacentral:tRNA from 1 species
UCUUAUAUAGUUUAAUUAAAACCUUUCAUUUUCAAUGAAAAAUUAGAUUUUAUCUUAUAAGAA